AUUGAACGCUGGCGGAGUGCUUUACACAUGCAAGUCGAACGGCAGCACGGACUUCGGUCUGGUGGCGAGUGGCGAACGGGUGAGUAACAUAUCGGAACGUAUCCAAUAAUGGGGGAUAACUAAUCGAAAGGUUGGCUAAUACCGCAUACGCCCUACGGGGGAAAGCUAGGGACCUUCGGGCCUGGCGUUAAUGGAGCGGCCGAUAUCUGAUUAGCUAGUUGGUGGGGUAAAGGCCCACCAAGGCGACGAUCAGUAGCUGGUCUGAGAGGACGACCAGCCACACUGGAACUGAGACACGGUCCAGACUCCUACGGGAGGCAGCAGUGGGGAAUUUUGGACAAUGGGCGCAAGCCUGAUCCAGCCAUUCCGCGUGAGUGAAGAAGGCCUUCGGGUUGUAAAGCUCUUUCGCAAGGGAAGAAAACUUAGCCACUAACAUUGGCUGAGGUUGACGGUACCUUGAUAAGAAGCACCGGCUAACUACGUGCCAGCAGCCGCCGCAGUAA
rnacentral:rRNA from 1 species